CCUACGGGAGGCAGCAGUGGGGAAUUUUGGACAAUGGGCGCAAGCCUGAUCCAGCAAUGCCGCGUGCAGGAUGAAGGCCUUCGGGUUGUAAACUGCUUUUGUACGGAACGAAAAAGUCUGCCCUAAUACGGUGGGCCCAUGACGGUACCGUAAGAAUAAGCACCGGCUAACUACGUGCCAGCAGCCGCGGUAAUACGUAGGGUGCGAGCGUUAAUCGGAAUUACUGGGCGUAAAGCGUGCGCAGGCGGUUAUAUAAGACAGAUGUGAAAUCCCCGGGCUCAACCUGGGACCUGCAUUUGUGACUGUAUAGCUAGAGUACGGUAGAGGGGGAUGGAAUUCCGCGUGUAGCAGUGAAAUGCGUAGAUAUGCGGAGGAACACCGAUGGCGAAGGCAAUCCCCUGGACCUGUACUGACGCUCAUGCACGAAAGCGUGGGGAGCAAACAGGAUUAGAUACCCUGGUAGUCCACGCCCUAAACGAUGUCAACUGGUUGUUGGGUCUUCACUGACUCAGUAACGAAGCUAACGCGUGAAGUUGACCGCCUGGGGAGUACGGCCGCAAGGUUGAAACGUUAAGAAAGUAGUAGGCGUGNGAGAGACGACGACGACGACGACGGAGGAGGAGG
rnacentral:rRNA from 1 species